AUAGGUCGGUCGUAGUAACCCCAUUGGGUGAAAUCAGUACCUUUUGCAGAGGGAGGACUUGUACCCUGCCUAUGGGCUAAAACUUCCGGGCACAUCGUUUGAAAUGCGCCCUCCCCGAAAGGGGGCACUCCGAUGUAAUCAGCCGGACGCUUCUUGCAUGGUGAGUGAUGUAUGGUAACUCAUUUCAUGGCUGGUAUUACUACGCAGUUAGAACCCAUACCCAACAAUCAUACUGUACGGAGGGAAAUCUUUUUCAUGACCAG
rnacentral:ncRNA from 1 species